UACGUAGGGGGCAAGCGUUGUCCGGAUUUACUGGGCGUAAAGCGCGCGUAGGUGGAACGAUCAGUCCGGUCUGAAAGCCCCCGGCUCAACCGGGGAGGGUGGCUGGAAACUGUCGUUCUUGAGGGCGAGAGAGGAGGGUGGAAUUCCUGGUGUAGCGGUGAAAUGCGUAGAUAUCUGGAGGAACACCGGUGGCGAAGGCGGCAUCCUGGACCGGCAUUGACGCUGAGGCGCGAAAGCCAGGGGAGCAAACGGG
rnacentral:rRNA from 1 species